rnacentral:misc_RNA from 1 species
GGGGAAGAGAGUUUUGGAACUGGUUCUGAUCACAUUCGUGAGAAGGAUGGCAUAUGGGCUGUGUUAGCUUGGCUUUCAAUUAUUGCACACAGAAACAAGGACAAGAAACCAGGGGAGAAGUUAGUAUCUGUUGCUGAUGUUGUGAAAGAGCACUGGGCAACAUUUGGAAGAAAUUUCUUUUCUAGAUAUGAUUAUGAAGAAUGUGAGUCUGAAGGAGCAAAUAAAAUGAUGGAAUACCUUAGAGAUUUGGUCUCUAAAAGCAAACCAGGAGAUAAAUAUGGUAGUUAUGCCCUUCAAUAUGCUGAUGACUUC